rnacentral:rRNA from 1 species
UACGUAGGGGGCAAGCGUUGUCCGGAUUUAUUGGGCGUAAAGAGCGUGUAGGCGGCCAGGUAGGUCCGUUGUGAAAACUCGAGGCUCAACCUCGGACGUCGGCGGAAACCCUCUGGCUAGAGUCCGGAAGAGGAGAGUGGAAUUCCUGGUGUAGCGGUGAAAUGCGCAGAUAUCAGGAAGAACACCCGUGGCGAAGGCGGCUCUCUGGGACGGUACUGACGCUGAGACGCGAAAGCGUGGGGAGCAAACAGG